ensembl:lncRNA novel transcript
GGGGCGCCAGGAGCACCGUCCACCCAGAGGGCCAGGCCGGGAGGCUGAACUGGAGACCAGAGACAGACGCGAGAUGGAGAGACCCACGGACAGUCGCCGACACCGGGCAGAGGAAGAAAUACAUACAGAAGCAGAGACAGGCUGGCACAGGAGAGGCUCUGGGGAGAAAUUUCCCAAGAGAGGAAGAGGAGCUGGGAGGAGAAACAGACAGGAAACCUGGGAGCCUCGCGGGGCUGGGCUGGGCUGUCAGAGCCUGCGCGAUCCGUCCUCCCUUCCCCUCCUAUACGGCUUGGGCGACCUUGCUCCCGAGGGCGCAUCCCGCAUCUCCCUGACUCUGCCCCCAACUCUCUGUUGCUCCUCUCUAUGCGUUGUCCCUCUGUCUCCUUAUUUCUCCCCGUAGGCCUCCUCUGGUUCGUCCUGACCCGGAUAAGGAGGCCUAGCAUGCGCGUGGGGGCUGGAGGCCUGGGAAAGGAAAGGAAGGUGUCAGCAGGAGGUUUCCCUUGUUUCCAUGAUCUCCUCCCCUCCCACCUCUACAAAGCAGCAUGAGUUUGGGCCACUAUGGCAAGAACUAGCUAGCAGUCAGGCUGUUGGGUAAUGGAAGAGGGCAGGUGAGAGAGGCUGAAGCCAAAACAGAUGUGGAAAUCAAGACUAACUGACUCAGAGAAAGGCACAAAGAGUAGCAACGCUAAGACUUGAUAAAGUAACCCACACAGCCUUCCUGCCCCACAGACAUACGUCCCACCUUUCCUCAGAGGACCGUGACAUCCCUCCAAACAGCAAAACUGCCCCUUCUCCCUCCCCACCCUUCAUAAAGCCCCUGGGAAUGUCAGUGAGGAGGAAGAAUAAACUACUACAGACAGGAUUGCUUGGUACCUUGGUAUUGCCUGGUAGGAUUCUUCUCUAUGUGGGGCUGGGACAAAAGACAUUCUCAAAAUUCUCCAGGAAAGUGGGUGGCCUGGGAGACACUGGCAUUCUCAGAUAGUUUUAUCUGACUGAACACUUCUACCCACAUCUUGGACUCUGGACUAGAGGAAAGGAGGGGGAAGGGGUUUGCCACUUUAGGCCAGCCUUAACUGGACUGUGAUCAGGGAGGGGAGUAUCAACAACUAGGCUAAGCCCCACAGCGAGUACACAAGAGACCUAAACAUACACACACAUGUGCACACGCACAUACAGAGAAAGAGAGAGACAGAGAGACAGAUUUAAGGCCAGGUGAACCAGUAAGAUGAACAGUAACUCAGUAAAGUCAGAUCUAAAAAAAA